GGGAGUGUAGCUUAGAGACAGAGCACAUGCUUAGCAUGUACAAGGUCCUGGGUUCAAUCCCCAGCACCA
rnacentral:tRNA from 1 species